rnacentral:rRNA from 1 species
ACUCCUACGGGAGGCAGCAGUGGGGAAUAUUGCACAAUGGGGGAAACCCUGAUGCAGCCAUGCCGCGUGUGUGAAGAAGGCCUUCGGGUUGUAAAGCACUUUCAGUAGGGAGGAAGGUAGUGUAGUUAACACCUGCAUAUUUGAUCGUUAUCCUACAGAAGAAGCACCGGCUAACUCCGUGCCAGCAGCCGCGGUAAUACGGAGGGUGCGAGCGUUAAUCGGAAUUACUGGGCGUAAAGCGCAUGCAGGCGGCCUGUUAAGUCAGAUGUGAAAGCCCGGGGCUUAACCUCGGAAUUGCAUUUGAAACUGGCAGGCUAGAGUCUUGUAGAGGGGGGUAGAAUUUCAGGGUGUAGCGGUGAAAUGCGUAGAGAUCUGAAGGAAUACCAGUGGCGAAGGCGGCCCCCUGGACAAAGACUGACGCUCAGAUGCGAAAGCGUGGGGAGCAAACAGGAUUAGAUACCCUGGUAGGAUAG